UAGCAAUACUUUGGUGGCGACCGGCGCACGGGUGCGUAACGCGUAUGCAACCUACCUUUAACAGGGGCAUAACACUGAGAAAUUGGUACUAAUUCCCCAUAACAUUCGAGAAGGCAUCUUCUUGGGUUAAAAACUCCGGUGGUUAAAGAUGGGCAUGCGUUGUAUUAGCUAGUUGGUGAGGUAACGGCUCACCAAGGCAACGAUACAUAGGGGGACUGAGAGGUUAACCCCCCACAUUGGUACUGAGACACGGACCAAACUCCUACGGGAGGCAGCAG
rnacentral:rRNA from 1 species